GACAGAGGUCUCGAGCGUUAGGCGGAAUCACUGGGCUUAAAGCGUGUGUAGGUGGAUGUCUAAGUACCUUGUGAAAUCCCACGGCUUAACCGUGGAAUUGCUUGGUAUACUGGAUGUCUUGAGCCAGCUAGGGGCAACCGGAACAAAUGGUGGAGCGGUGAAAUGCGUAGAUAUCAUUUGGAACGCCAAUGGUGAAAAACGGGGUUGCUGGGGGCUGUGCUGACACUGAGACACGAAAGCCAGGGGAGCAAACGGGG
rnacentral:rRNA from 1 species